GAUGAAGAACGUAGCGAAAUGCGAUAAGUAAUGCGAAUUGCAGAAUCCGUGAGUUAUCGAAUCUUUGAACGCACAUUGCGCCCUCUGGUAUUCCGGAGGGCAUGCCUGUUCGAGCGUCAUUAUCACCCCUCAAGCCCGGCUUGUUGUUGGAUGCAGCGCUUAUCCCGCUCCUCCCAAAGAUAAUGACGGCGUCUGCGACGACUCCUGUACACUGAGCUUUCGGGCACGUACACGGCUAGAAGUCCAGACCCGGUCGCCGUCCCCCCCGCGGGGACACCCAUUACCACAAGGUUGACCUCGGAUCAGGUAGGAAUACCCGCUGAACUUAAGCAUAUCAAUAAGCGGAGGA
rnacentral:misc_RNA from 1 species